ensembl:lncRNA novel transcript
CAGGCACUCCUGAUACCCACUGGAGGUAAUGCUGGUUUUGGGAGCACAAUGUAUUGUGAAUAAAAUAUACGAAGAAAAAAGCAUAUAAUCCUCUGGAUAAAUCUCUGAAUAAAAUUUCAGAUGAAAAGAACACUUAAAUGGCCACAUUAUAUCAACAGAAAGACAGGCAUUUCAGGACUAAAAAAGAACAUAACAUAUGGAAUACUGAAAACCUGUACUGUAGCCCAGCGCCAGGCACCAGGUCAGCACACUAAAUGCCCAGAAGGAUGAUGUGUGGGUGAAGAAGCAGAGCAACAUAAUAUGGGAGGGGAACCCCUUCUUGGCAGAUUUUAAAGAAUAAAGUAAAUGGAAGUCCUUGUUUCUUCAAUUAGACAGCAGAAAGCUGGAAUUUUGUGAUCAUAGUUUGCCACAGAAGUCUCAUAAUUGCACCCGCAUCUGGGGCUAAGCAGUAGGAGGAAAUAGAAGAAAAAAAUCAACUCCUGUUUGAGUUGAUCCAUCCUCAUGGGACCACAGCUUCUCUGAGGAGAGAAGAAAGUUUCCAUUCCACAAAGUUUUAGGUACCUGUGGACCCUGCUGCUGCUGCUGUUGCUGCCAUUAACGCCACUACUGCCACGAAUGGAGGAUUUCCUGGCGGCCAGGACAUGAUAGCGUGGAGAUUGUAAAAGAAAAAAAAAAAUAGGCGGGUGGAGAAAAAUGGCGGACUACAAGCCUACAUCCUUCCUACUACCCACAGGAACCCAAAUUUUAAAAACUAUCUGCACACAGAAAAGCACCAUCAUAAGAACCAAAAAUCAGGGUAACUGUGGAAGCUGACAGACAUAAGCCGAAGAAGAAAAUGAUUGGCAUCACUGUAGGUCCUCAGCAAAUCAAAAUGGGUGCCUGGUAAGGUUCAUGGUUAAGAGAUGUGGUGCAGCUGUUCUUUUAUCUCCUACUCAGAGUGGAAAUAGCCUUACCAGAGCAAGGCACAGUGAACAAUAGAAGUAAUAUUUUUAAAAAAUGUGCCUCUGCAAAGGAUUGAUCAGUGGCUUAACAAAGAUUGACAUCAGCGUGACAUUCUCUGCAACAAUGCACAAGGCUGCACAGAAAAAUCUUCCCUAUUUACAAGCACAGUCAACCUUUCAUCUCUGAUUUCCCCUGAAGACCGCAGUGACCCUCUUAAAAUAUACUGCAGGGAGUAUGCAACAAACUUCUUCGAAAGAGAGGCAAUCUAGAAAUAAUUGAGACAAGGGCAGAAGCCAAAGGACAAUGAAAAAAUUUCAGAAACAGGGUUGUUUGAAACUGAAGAUGCUAUACUUGAGGCUUUUUGUGGCAUCGGCUUCUGAAUUCAACUCUGAAGUGAAUGUGUUGCAUUGCUUUCAAGUGUGGUGGUGAUGAAUUACUGAAGAAAUUUCAAUCAGAGGGCAUACAGCAAUGGAGCCCCUGUGGUUUUCAGAAAACUUGCCUGCUUGCUGUUGAAAGUCUGACACAAAGUAAAAGAACUGUGCUGGGACUACUGGUGAACAGGGAGCUAUUUGUGAUAGAGAAAACAUGGUAUUUUUCCUCUGGUAAGAUGUACAUUUAUUAGAGCAUUUAUCAAAUAAUUUGGCUUUUCAAUACAUUAUCAGAAAUUAGUGAGAUUGGUUAUGAACUUAAUUAUGCUUUUCUAAAAAAUGUUUUUAGCCUGCUCUCAAACAUUUUGAAGUGGACCCUUAUUAGAGUUACCAAAUUGUAUGAAAGCACAUUGCCCUCAGCACAUAAGGGUCACAGGUGGAAUGUAGCAGGGUUGAAAUGAAGGAUAAUGGAAAAAUCCACUACUUGUGUUUGCUACUUAAAUGUCAUGGCUGGGUAAAUGGAUUUCUCUACUUCCUAGGACUCGGCUUCUACUACAUUAGUCUGGCAGCAAUUAGAGAGAAGAGGUUGCUCUGCAAAUUGGCUUGGCGAACCAUGUAGUUCAUCUUUUUAUUGUGCAAAACAGAAAAAAUUGCUUCUAAUCAAUCCA